rnacentral:lncRNA from 1 species
UCCAUCCACAAUUUUGCGUUCAAAAGCAACUCUUAAUAAGUAUGUCUACCAUGAAUAAUUGAGGCUCAAGAUGCACCAAAAUGGAAAAUUCCCUGGAAAACAGCCAUUACCAGAGGCAAUUUACUCAGGCCUGUGUUUGGGGGGCAUCUGCUUUGUGCUCCAAAUUACACAAACAAAGCAUCCUACCUUACCCUCAAGGAAGUAAUCUAGGAUGGAAAGUGAGUUUACAUACUUGAAGCUUAAGAGAAACAGCACAGAACAACAUAAUUAAGUGCUAGAAUGUGU